GAUGAACGCUGGCGGCGUGCCUAAUACAUGCAAGUCGAGCGAACGGACGAGAAGCUUGCUUCUCUGAUGUUAGCGGCGGACGGGUGAGUAACACGUGGAUAACCUACCUAUAAGACUGGGAUAACUUCGGGAAACCGGAGCUAAUACCGGAUAAUAUUUUGAACCGCAUGGUUCAAAAGUGAAAGACGGUCUUGCUGUCACUUAUAGAUGGAUCCGCGCUGCAUUAGCUAGUUGGUAAGGUAACGGCUUACCAAGGCAACGAUGCAUAGCCGACCUGAGAGGGGGAGCGGCCACCCUGGAACGGAGACACGGUCCAGACUCCUACGGGAGGCAGCAGUAGGGAAUCUUCCGCAAUGGGCGAAAGCCUGACGGAGCAACGCCGCGUGAGUGAUGAAGGUCUUCGGAUCGUAAAACUCUGUUAUUAGGGAAGAACAUAUGUGUAAGUAACUGUGCACAUCUUGACGGUACCUAAUAAGAAAACCACGGCUAACUACGUG
rnacentral:rRNA from 1 species